GCCACCAGGACAGGGAGAAACUAAGUCAGGAGGUGACGCCGCCUCCUGAGACAGUGCUCCAGACACCUGGUGGCCCCGCAGUGCCCACCGGGUUCAGAGAGAGGACAAAGGCUACUGUCCAUCACUUCCCCAUGACAUGAGUGACGUUCCGGCCUCACGUCCUGCUCUGCCGUUCUUUACAAACUGUGACUGACAGGAGCCGCUGUGGCAGCCAUUUUGUUCUCUACGCCUCUGUUGUGAGGAAACCCACCCCCAGGCCAGGCUGGGAGGGGCGCUCCAUGGGACAGCGGCGAUACUGCCAGCCACUGUGUUCAUGGAGCGGGGACAGCGGCCACACUGCCGGCCACUGUGUUCAUGGAGUGGGGACAGCGGCCACACUGCCGGCCACUGUGUUCAUGGAGUGGGGACAGCGGCCACACUGCCAGCCACUGUGUUCAUGCAGCGGGGACAGCGGCCACACUGCCGGCCACUGUGUUCAUGCAGCGGGGACAGCGGCCACACUGCCAGCCCACUUGUGGUUCAUGCAGCGGGUACAGGCGGCCACACUGCCAGCCACUGUGUUUCAUGCAGCGGGGGACAGCGGCCCACACUGCCAAGCCACUGUGUUCAGGGAAGGGGGGACAAGCGGGCAAACUGCACGGCCACUGUGUUCAUGCAGCGGGGACAGCGGCCACACUGCCGGCCACUGUGUUCAUGCAGCGGGGUACAGUUGGUCACACUGCCGGCCACUGUGUUCAUGCAGCAGGAACAGCGCCCACACUGCCAGCCACUGUGUUCAUGGUGGAGGGGACAGCGGCCAAACUANNNNNNNNNNNNNNNNNNNNNNNNNNNNNNNNNNNNNNNNNNNNNNNNNNNNNNNNNNNNNNNNNNNNNNNNNNNNNNNNNNNNNNNNNNNNNNNNNNNNCUUCAGCUCGCUGGCCUCACUGGGGUCGGGUGUCUCACCUCUGUCGCGGUAGCCUUGGGGCGGGCGGCCCCGGGAUCUCCAGGCAGCUCACCUUGUAGCACUGAAACGAGAGAACGCGGACAAGGCCGGGUGGCAGGACACACACGGCCCGGACGCCUGGGGGAAAGGCCAGGGCCCUGGAGGCUGAGUCCGCGCUGGCUGCGGGACGCGCCCCGCUGUGCGCCCCUGGCCGUGGGCACGGGGCCGAUGAAGGCGCCUGUGGGGAGGCUGAGGGCGGCCCGGACAGUCCGAGCCUCGGGUGCUGCUGGGGCUGGUGUCCCGGCUCCCCGCAGGGCUUUCCCUGGAGGUGGGGGUGCAGCAGGGCUGGGCCAGGGCCGGGGUCCGGGCAGCCUAGCAUGGGGCUGCUCUGCACAGGAGGGGUUUUGCAAAUCUGACGUGGGCCCGGCUGGGCCUGCCCGCGGUCUGUCCAUGGUGAGGCGCCCAGGUGGGGUCUGCGAGAUGGCUGAGCCUUCAGCAUGCCCAGGGUGGUGGGCGGCACCUUCCCAGCGAGAGAGGACCACGCAGCCAAUGGACAGGACGCCCCUGAACGCCCCUGCCUGCGCCCCAGAGGCCUGCACCCUGCGCUGGGCACCUGUCUGCUCCCAUCCUCAGAGCCCCUGCCUUCUUUUUUUCUUUUUAAGAUUAUUUAUUUGAAAGUCAGAGUUACACAGAGAGAGAAGGAGAGGCAGAGAGCGAGAGAGAGGGAGAGAGGUCUUCCAUCCGCUGGUUCACUCCCCAAUUGGCCGCAAUGGCUGGAGCUGCGCCGAUCCGAAGCCAGGAGCCAGGAGCUUCUUCUGGGUCUCCCACAUGGACGCAGGGGCCCAGGCACUUGGGCCAUCUUCUAUUGCUUUCCCAGGCCAUAGCAGAGAGCUGGAUGGGAAGUGGAGCAGCCGGGACUUGAACUGGCACCCAUAUGGGAUGCUGGCAUUGCAGGUGGCGGCUUUACCUGCUAAGCCACAGCGCCAGCCCCAGAGCCCCUGCAUUCUGUGCCCACUCCACUGUCCACAGCCCAGCCCUCUCCAGGCAGUGCCAGCCACACCUGUCCUGCCCUGCAGCCUUCCCAGUGGGAGUGGGUGCUGGGGGCUGGGGUGGGAGUAUGCAUGUUUGAGGCUAAGUGUGCCUGUGUGUCAGAACUGUGUGUGAACAGAAGACCCAGGCCAGCUGCUUGAGAGCAGGGAGACCCCCACCAAACCCCUCCCACCAGCCCCUCCCCCUCCCCUCCCACCAGCCCCGUCCCCCACUAGCCCCUCCCCCUCCCACCAGCCCCCCACCAGCCCCGUCCCCCACUAGCCCCUCCCCCUCCCACCAGCUCCCUACCAGCCCCCACCUCCCUCCUUCCUUUGCAGGGGUUGCCCUGGGCAGAGGGCCACCACGGCAUCUGGCUGCCUCCCCUGGCUCCCUCACAGGCACGGGCCGCAUACGCCUCUCGUCACUCCUACCACCACUGCCUCGCCUGCUUCUUGGAUCUGAUCAGCAAAGCACAGCAGGAGGAGCGGAGAGCGUGAGGCAGGGACCAUCGCUGGGGGUGUCGCCAGGGUGACCUGUCAGCUGCAGGGGACGCUGGGUUGGCCACCGCCUGGCUGCACUGAGGGCCCUGCAGAGGGGUGGGGGCCGAGGCAGUUAAGCCCACGGGGGGCUCAGUGUGAGAGCCUGA
rnacentral:lncRNA from 1 species